CCCCCACACCAUUAAACCACCAGCAGCAGCCUGAACCAUUGAUACACGGCAGGAUGCAUCCAUGCUUUCAUGUUGUUGAGGCCAAAUUCUGACGCUACCAUCCAAGUAUCGCAGCAAAAAUUGAGACUCAUCUGACUAGGCAACGUUUCUCUAAAUCUUCUAUUGUGCAAUUUUGGUGAGCCUGUGUGAAUUGUAGCCUCAGUUUCCUGCUCUUAGCCGCAGAAGUGGCACCCGGUGUGGUCUUCUGCUGCUGUAGCCCAUCUGCCUCAAGCUGGAACCAGCCUGGCCAUUUUCCGCUGACCUCGGGCAUCAACAAGGCAUUUGCGUCCACAGAACUGCUGUUAAUGAGCAAUUAAACAGGUGUACCUAAUAAAGUGCCGAAGAAACCACCUCCACCAAAAACAGUGACGAGGACACCACAAUUGUAGAGAAACGUACAACAGCUUUCACGGAGACCACCGUCAUCCAACGUGCUGGCACUGUGGAAUAUCACACCAGGCUUCUUAACCCCUUCAGGUCUAGAAAUGACAGCCCUCCAGAGAAUAAAACAGAUGAUGAAGAACUCAAAUAGACUUUUUUCCAGACAAAAUGUUUGGAUAAAUUAAUGUUUUGGGACAAUAAUCUCAUCCUUGGUUUCAACUAAGAGAAAUGAAGCUCUCGGGCAACAAAAUUGCAUCUUGAUGGUCAUCUUUUGAGUAAAGCGUCUGUUAAGAUAACUGGCAAAUUAAAUAUCAAGUUGCCUUA